GUAUGUCAUGCAAUGAGAUUAAAAAAAUCUCGUAAAGUUUUGUUGGCUCUAUGAUUGAUUUUGAUGAUUAUAAAAUAUUAAAAAAUUAUGAUACUAAUCAUAUAUUUCAAGAGUAGAUAUAGGAUUUCUAAAAUAUUCAAAAUGAAAAAAAUAUCCUUGAAAGAAAUCCUCUUAAGAUGCUAGGCUAAGGCACUUCAAAGAAUGAAAUUUCAUAAAUUUGGCUCAGAGGAGUCGACCCUAGGGAAGAGGAGUCGACUAUGGCAUGCUUGGAGCAGAUUGGCAUAUGCUUGAAUCGACUC
rnacentral:lncRNA from 1 species